rnacentral:misc_RNA from 1 species
GACUCAGGUACCAACCGCUGCUUUGGCUUCUGUUACAAACCUGUCGAGCUGUUGCGGUGGGGAAAAAAGCAAUGUUCAUUUGAAACCAGCAGUGGGAAGAUCAUUGUGAAAGAUCAUAUUAUCAGAAAUGGGAGAAGCAGAGACUAGUCUGAUUUUACGUCGUCAGAAUGCAGGUUCAUUUUCCUAAGAGGGGUUCUUAUAAGUGUUUGAACAACUGGCCUCUUGUGAAGUUCUCCGCGGUCAGUCUCGGCGAACCAGAUGACGACCUGACUUCCGGAAGAGCGAAGAUGGAAUUUAACGAGACUUUUGAUAUCAGCAAUAUAAUAACCAGAACAAGUGAUUGGCAUCGCUGUGGUCCGUGGCAGUGAGUGUGUGACCAGUGCAAGCACUUCACAACCUCCAGAACGCUGCAGAAUCUUCCUGAGGCUGACAAGGGCAUCGCAACAAGAACGCAGUUCUGGACUGUUCGAUGACCUUCCUGACCUUCUUGGUCUGAUGACCUUAAUGACCCUUGUGGAAACGAGAUCGUCUCUAAGAUGCGACAAAUUAGUGACUCUUAGAGCUGGCAUCGAUGCAGAACAUACAGAACAUAUUUAGAGAAAAAAGUGGCUCAUCGACGAGAAAAAAAUCAGUUAAAAUAACCAGAAAACUACUGGACGUACGCGCUAACAAAAAGACUACAAAAAGAUACCAUGACUGUAAAACAAUAGUACAUAAGGCGUACUCGUGUUCUGGAUGCUGCCCUUAUUACCUAAAGUGUGAUCAGGAUUGGAUAAAACACUUGUGUGGUAAAGUGUGUUCACGCAUCUCACGUGCAAGAUGUUACUAAGUCCUACGGAGCAAGAAGACGAAUAAAGUAACUCCAGUUCUACUGUUCGUUUAAAAAAAACCCGAUUAAUCCUUCGAAAAAAAAAGUUCAUUCCAACCCUGGAAAAACAUGGCGGUCACUGGAAGUUUAUACAGUUGAAGGAUUUGGAUUGCUGGCUUAGCUAUGUAACGUCUGCGUGAUGCAUGCAGGCGGUGUGUGACGUUUACCGCCCGAGUGACGCUCGUUACUUUUAUGACAAUCGUGCAAGACUUGCAGGACCUGCUGACCGCGACCCAACAAGA